GUCGAGCGAGAAAGGGUAGCAAUACCCGAGUACGGCGGCGCACGGGUGAGUAACACGUGGAUAACCUGCCUCAAAGUGGGGAAUAACACCGGGAAACCGGUGCUAAUACCGCAUAUUCUGAUGAGAUCUGUGGAUUUUGUCAGUAAAGGAGCAAUUCGCUAUGAGAGGGGUCCGCGGCUGAUUAGCUAGUUGGUGAGGUAAUGGCUCACCAAGGCAACGAUCAGUANCCGGUCUGAGAGGACGGUCGGCCACACUGGAACUGAGACACGGUCCAGACUCCUACGGGAGGCAGCAGUGGGGAAUUUUUCGCAAUGGGGGCAACCCUGACGAAGCAAUGCCGCGUGGAUGAUGAAGUAUUUCGGUACGUAAAAUCCUUUCGACGGGGACGAAACCGCAAGGUUGACGGUACCCGUAGAAGAAGCCCCGGCUAACUCCGUGCCAGCAGCCGCGGUAAUACGGGGGGGGCAAGCGUUGUUCGGAAUUACUGGGCGUAAAGGGUGCGUAGGCGGCUUUCUAAGUUGGAUGUGAAAACUCUGGGCUCAACCCAGAGACUGCAUCCAAAACUGGAGAGCUUGGGUUCUGGAGGGGAAAGCGGAAUUCCUGGUGUAGCGGUGAAAUGCGUAGAUAUCAGGAGGAACACCGGUGGCGAAGGCGGCUUUCUGGACAGAUACCGACGCUGAGGCACGAAAGCUAGGGGAGCAAACAGGAUUAGAUACCCUGGUAGUCCUAGCCCUAAACGAUGGAUACUUGCUGUGAGGGGGAUUGAAACCCCUUGUGGCGAAGCUAACGCAUUAAGUAUCCCGCCUGGGGAGUACGGUCGCAAGGCUG
rnacentral:rRNA from 1 species